AGAGAGAGAGACAGGAGAGAGGGAUGGAAGGAGAGAGGGAUUGAGGGAGAGCAAAGAAGGAGGGAGAGGAAAGAAGGAGAGAGAGGAGGGAGAGGAAAGAGACAGGAGAGAGGGAAGGAGGGAGAGAGAUGGAGAGUGGGAGAGACAGGAGGUAGAGGAAGGUGUUGAGAGGUAGGAGACAGUAAUAAAUAAAAGGUAAAUCAAAAUAAAGUAGAGGGUGGAGAGGUAGGAGACAGAUAAAAUGAGACUAAAAGAGGUGGAUGAGACCUUACCCAUACAAGAACAACUAGUUUUCCAGCAAGAAAUAGAUUUAACUUCACUCUAGUGAAAGCAUCCACCCAAAGCCCAAGCAGGCCUUUAGUUAAUCAUUUGGACUGUUUCUCCCAUUAACACUAUGCAACACUGAGAGAGUCCAGACACCAUGCACUGAGACAGAACAAAACAAAAUGGAGGUUGGGUUCUCAUAAACUCUUCUCCGCCCUCAAUUAAUCUCUCCUUGUUUCCUCGUAUCCUAUUUCCUCCUCAACCGUACUGGUCCCUCCCUUCCCCCUGACCUUCUCCAAUGCAUUUUUAGAUGAACACGAGGAGCGGUGGGGUAAGGAAUCAAGGAAAGAUGGAUUGAGAAUGAGUGUUAAUGUGGGUGUAUCCCAAAUGGCACCCUAUUCCCCACAGGCCCUGGUCUAAAGUAGUGCACUACAAAUAGGGAAUAGGGUGCCACAGGCCCUGGUCUAAAGUAGUGCACUACAAAUAGGGAAUAGGGUGCCAUAGGCCCUGGUCUAAAGUAGUGCACUACAAAUAGGGAAUAGGGUGCCACAGGCCCUGGUCUAAAGUAGUGCACUACAAUAGGGAAUAGGGUGCCACAGGCCCUGGUCUAAAGUAGUGCACUAUAUAGGGAACCAGGUGCCAUUUGGGACAGAGACCGUGUGGUAGUUAGCAACCACAACCACCGCCAUCUUAGAGUGAUGGCUGCACUCCAACAACUAGCCCCAUUUCAAAAUAAAUGUCUCAAAUAUGAAGAACCAUCUUGUUUAAAUGACAAUCUUUGAUAGCAGUGCUAAUGAUAUGUUUUGUAUUAAACAAGAACUGCAGGGGAACAUUUUUUAUCAGACAACAGAAAUGAAUUUAACUAAGAUGUAGACUUUCAGAGCAAAACCAAUGAGAAUUAAAGACUUGGGUCUUUAAAAACUGUAAAUACUGUUAAUAUUGCAAUGAAUGAAACUUUAAAAAAGAAAAUGAACAAUAACAUGUGAACUGCUGAACAACAAAAUGUGAUUUUUUUUAUUAUUAAUGUUACUAUGUACAUGUCCCAAAUGGUACCCUGUGCCCUAUACAGUGCACUACUUCUGACCAGGGCCUAUAUAGGGAAUAGGGUGCCAUUUGAGACGAAUCCCCUCUGUAAGCUUGUAUCUUUUCUUUUUCUACUUAGAGGUGCUACUGCAAGGUCUUCCGUUGCAGCCCAAAUCAACCCCCUACACUUCCAGGUGGUCCCAAUUCGUUCCCUACCCCCUCGAUGUUAGGGGCUGGAUAGGUAUAAGCAGUGCAGGUGGUUGACCUUUCCAAAACAAAAAUAUCCAUAUCUGUAAACAUUGAAUGGUUAGAGCUCAGGCUCCCGAGUGGCGCAGCGGUCUAAGACACUGCGUCUCAGUGCUUGAGGCGGAACUACAGACACCCUGGUUUGAUUCCAGACUGUAUCACAGCGGUCUAAGACACUGCGUUUCAGUGCUUGAGGCGGAACUACAGACACCCUGGUUUGAUUCCAGGCUGUAUCACAACCGGCUGUGAUUGGAAGACCCAAAGGGUGGUGCACAGUUGGCCCAGCGUCGUCCGGGUUUGGCCUGGGGGGGGGUAGGCCGUAAUUAUCAAUAAGAAUUUGUUCUUAACUGACUUGCCUAGUUAAAUAAAAGUUUAGUGUUUAAAAAACACGUUUUAUUCAGAUCAGUCCGUCUUUAUAGUGCAACUACUCCUGAUUAGGGGGUAGGGGUUGAUUUGGGAUUCAGCAGUAGCUUCAAUGAUCUGCCUUUCUGUACGAGUCCAGGCCUUUCUCUGUGACUGGGCCAUGGCUGCCAGCACUACCUACCUACCUACCGCCUUAGGCCCCGGGCUCAGUCACACGGCAGAGAGGCACAAACAAGCCGGGUAUGUCCCGCAUCACAACGUUGGCAAUACUCUGCAACGGUAUGUAGAGGAAUCCUUCUCAACAGACAGCUUGUCACGCACUACUGGUGCCUGCAGCACACGGGCUGUGUUCUAGAUCACAACGUUGCUAAACUAAUCUCUGCAGUUGUGUGUCUAUAUAUAUAUAUAUAUAUAAAGUGUUUAUCAACAACAACAAAACGUUGGUCGGUAAAUCUGUGCAACAUCUGUUCUUUCCCCAUUUCACAGACCUUUCCUUACAAGGGUUUUUUUUUUAUUCUGCCUUUUAAACCUGUAUUUGUUUUUAAACUGUUUUUAACUUGGUUUGUGCAACGUUUUGUGGUGGUGAACGUAUCCUGUUAAUACAGGACUGGGCUCGAGUCUAGAUAGAAUUGUGCAAAGGGAAGCUUGCCUCUAUAGGGAAUAGGGUUCCAUUUGGUGUUCUCUAUAGGGAAUAGGGUUCCAUUUGGUAUUCUCUAUAGGGAAUAGGGUUCCAUUUGGUGUUCUCUAUAGGGAAUAGGGUUCCAUUUGGUGUUCUCUAUAGGAAAUAGGGUUCCAUUUGGUGUUCUCUAUAGGGAAUAGGGUUCCAUUUGGUGUUCUCUAUAGGGAAUAGGGUUCCAUUUGGUAUUCUCUAUAGGGAAUAGGGUUCCAUUUGGUGUUCUCUAUAGGGAAUAGGGUUCCAUUUUGGUGUUCUCUAUAGGGAAUAGGGUUCCAUUUGGUGUUCUCUAUAGGAAAUAGGGUUCCAUUUGGUGUUCUCUAUAGGGAAUAGGGUUCCAUUUGGUGUUCUCUAUAGGGAAUAGGGUUCCAUUUGGUAUUCUCUAUAGGGAAUAGGGUUCCAUUUGGUAUUCUCUAUAGGGAAUAGGGUUCCAUUUGGUAUUCUCUAUAGGGAAUAGGGUUCCAUUUUGGUGUUCUCUAUAGGGAAUAGGGUUCCAUUUGGUGUUCUCUAUAGGGAAUAGGGUUCCAUUUGGUGUUCUCUAUAGGGAAUAGGGUUCCAUUUGGUAUUCUCUAUAGGGAAUAGGGUUCCAUUUUGGUGUUCUCUAUAGGGAAUAGGGUUCCAUUUUGGUGUUCUCUAUAGGGAAUAGGGUUCCAUUUGGUGUUCUCUAUAGGGAAUAGGGGUUCCAUUUGGUAUUCUCUAUAGGGAAUAGGGUUCCAUUUGGGACCCAAUCUCUGGUAUUACUUGAAACUUGAUGUGUAUAUGGGGGGGUCUUGAAUUACUUUUGCUUUCUUUUUCUACAAAAGUACUUUUGUAAAUGUAUUUUCUUUUUGUGACCACUUGGUGUACUAUGGGCAUAAGUAAACAAAUAAACAAAUAAUUUUUACUAAUCA